UGGGGAAUAUUGCACAAUGGGCGCAAGCCUGAUGCAACCAUGCCGCGUGUAUGAAGAAGGCCUUCGGGUUGUAAAGUACUUUCAGCGGGGAGGAAGGGAGUAAAGUUAAUACCUUUGCUCAUUGACGUUACCCGCAGAAGAAGCACCGGCUAACUCCGUGCCAGCAGCCGCGGUAAUACGGAGGGUGCAAGCGUUAAUCGGAAUUACUGGGCGUAAAGCGCACGCAGGCGGUUUGUUAAGUCAGAUGUGAAAUCCCCGGGCUCAACCUGGGAACUGCAUCUGAUACUGGCAAGCUUGAGUCUCGUAGAGGGGGGUAGAAUUCCAGGUGUAGCGGUGAAAUGCGUAGAGAUCUGGAGGAAUACCGGUGGCGAAGGCGGCCCCCUGGACGAAGACUGACGCUCAGGUGCGAAAGCGUGGGGAGCAAACA
rnacentral:rRNA from 1 species